AUUGUACUUGGAAGAUGAAUGCUAUAGGACCUCAUGAAACAGGAGGCUCUGAAGGAUGAACAGAGCUCCAAGAUAACACCUUAUGCUUUGUCUGAAGAGUUGACAUUACGUUGUGUGGGGAAUAAGUUUAGGAAUUCCCCGGGCUUGUACCAAUGGGUUAACAAGGCAUAAAGAAUUACAAAGCCAUAGGGUGCUCUCACCCAAGCCUGGGUAAGCAAGAUUAGGCAGAUCGGAAGA